GGGGACGACUGGUUUUGACAGCGAGAUCAGUUAGAAUGUAAGCAUGCCGAGCAAUGAAAUAGCAACUCGUAAAACUCAAUUUCAACACUAUAAACGGCGAGAAUAACUACGCUUUAGCUGCAUAAUCCGAAUUAUAGUAGGAUUUAGCCUCGUCUCUACAAGGUAGAGAAGCUUUAUGUCUCACGAAAGCGUUUGCUAACCGCGUUCAAUUAGAGACAUCGUAAAAGUUGGCAUAGAGAUAUUGUUGCUUUGAUGAUAUUUCGAAAUUUAGGAAGCUAAGUUAAAAGUGGGCGGUUUUUGGUCAGCUUUUAAUCGAAAAACAAACGAAAACUAAGCAUGUAGAAAGCACUUUGGUUGCUUGUUUGGACGAGGGUUCGAGUCCCUCCGUCUCCACUU
rnacentral:tmRNA from 1 species